rnacentral:misc_RNA from 1 species
GAUGAAGAACGCAGCGAAAUGCGAUAAGUAGUGUGAAUUGCAGAAUUCAGUGAAUCAUCGAAUCUUUGAACGCACAUUGCGCCCCUUGGUAUCCCGAGGGGCAUGCCUGUUCGAGCGUCAUUUCACCACUCAAGUCUGGCUUGGUGUUGGGCGACGUCCUCUUUGGGGACGCGCCUCGAAACGCUCGGCGGCGUGGCACCGGCUUUAAGCGUAGCAGAAUCUUUCGCUUUGGAAGUCGGGGCCCCGUCUGCCGGAAGACCUGCUCGCAAGGUUGACCUCGGAUCAGGCAGGGAUACCCGCUGAACUUAAGCAUAUCAAUAAGCGGAGGA